ACCCACGUGGUGAAAUUGGUAAACACGCCACUUUGAGGGGGUGGUAUCCUCUAAUAAUGGAUAUGCUGGUUCGAAUCCAGUCGUGGGUACAAAGUAUUGUAUUUAUAGUAAAAAUU
rnacentral:tRNA from 1 species